rnacentral:tRNA from 1 species
GGUUGUGGCUCAGCGGUAGAGCACUCGCCUAGCAUGUGUGAGGCCCUGGAUUCGAUCCUCAGCACCA